CACGUAAGUAUUCAGCCUCUAUAGGUAUCUACUCAAGAUCAGCCUGGAAUAGUUCUCUAUGGUGUUGAUCUUUCUUCUACAAGAAUGAUCACCUUGUGAAUUUGAACGAAGUCUGGAUCAUGAUCAACUCUUUGAUUCUUUCUUUGAUGUUUUUCUUCUCUUUUUUUUUUGCUCUCCUUUUCCUCAUUAUGAAGCAACUAAGGUCUAAAAAUAAGUAAGCAAGAAGGGACACCCAAACACCUUUCGGGCAUGG
rnacentral:lncRNA from 1 species